rnacentral:rRNA from 1 species
ACGGAAGGCAGCAGUGAGGAAUAUUGGUCAAUGGGCGAGAGCCUGAACCAGCCAAGUCGCGUGAAGGAUGAAGGUUCUAUGGAUUGUAAACUCCUUUUGUUCGAGGGUAAAGUGAGGGAUGCGUCCCUUAUUGCAAGUAUCGAACGAAUAAGCAUCGGCUAACUCCGUGCCAGCAGCCGCGGUAAUACGGAGGAUGCGAGCGUUAUCCGGAUUUAUUGGGUUUAAAGGGUGCGUAGGCGGGAUGUUAAGUCAGCGGUGAAAGCGUGUAGCUCAACUAUACCAAGCCGUUGAAACUGGCGUUCUUGAGUGUAAACGAGGUAGGCGGAAUGUGACGUGUAGCGGUGAAAUGCUUAGAUAUGUCACAGAACCCCGAUUGCGAAGGCAGCUUACCAGCAUACAACUGACGCUGAGGCACGAAAGUGCGGGGAUCAAACAGGAUUAGAUACCCUGGUA